GACGAACGCUGGCGGCGUGCCUAAUACAUGCAAGUAGAACGCACAGUUUAUACCGUAGCUUGCUACACCAUAGACUGUGAGUUGCGAACGGGUGAGUAACGCGUAGGUAACCUGCCUGGUAGCGGGGGAUAACUAUUGGAAACGAUAGCUAAUACCGCAUAAUAUUGAUUAUUGCAUGAUAAUUGAUUGAAAGAUGCUAUUGCAUCACUACCAGAUGGACCUGCGUUGUAUUAGCUAGUAGGUGAGGUAACGGCUCACCUAGGCGACGAUACAUAGCCGACCUGAGAGGGUGAUCGGCCACACUGGGACUGAGACACGGCCCAGACUCCUACGGGAGGCAGCAGUAGGGAAUCUUCGGCAAUGGACGAAAGUCUGACCGAGCAACGCCGCGUGAGGGAAGAAGGGUUUCGGAUCGUAAAGCUCGGUUGUAAGAGAAGAACGGGUGUGAGAGUGGAAAGUUCACACUGUGACGGUAUCUUACCAGAAAGGGACGGCUAACUACGUG
rnacentral:rRNA from 1 species